CCUGGGUCCCGAGGCCCCGGUGACAAUUGCAUUUCAGGGCCGGGGACCUGGGGUGUGUGGUGGGGCCGCCCCCUCUCCCGCCCGGCGCAGAAGCAGGAGCCACCCCAUCCCCCACCGGCGCGGUCUCGCUUCACCGCCACAGUUCAGAAGCCACAUGGAAGCCGCGGGACCCGAGGGCAAUGCGCGAGGCCGCGGUCACAGACGGCGUGCAAAUGGACUGGCGAAAUGUUUGAAAGCAGCCCCCAGAUCAGCUGCUCUCAUUCCACUGCCUGCAGCAUCCUGGCACUCGCUUGGGGGACACCCGAGAGUCAUCGAUCAAUAGGCCCUCGUCCCAGGGGAUAAGGCCGGCCAGCUGCCAGGGAGCCGCAUUCUAGCAAAGGUGGUUAUCCGGUGGAGCCCGUUGUGGACGAGCCAGCUUGAUGGAGAAAUGGCUUUGCAGAUCCCAGCUUAAUUAAAGCAGGUAUUUAGAGUAA